AUGCUGAAAUGGAAGUUUAAUAUAAAAAGAAGAAAUAAAAACCCUUGAAUGCACAAGACGCAAGCAAGGAACAGAGACUCUAAAAAGAGUACAAAAAAAAAAAAAAAAAAAAAAAAAACGCUCAGAAAAGUCUAAACGUUACCGCAAAAACCAACAAUCAAAUAUUAAAAUCCAUAUUGGAAUGAUAAUCAUCCUUGUUGCGAUCAUUUUCCAUGGCAAUUACAUCCGACCAACGGAGGUUCGC
rnacentral:lncRNA from 1 species